UCCUUUGUGGCGCAAUUGGUUAGCGCGUCGUACGUUCCUCCCUGCUGAGGAGGCUGUAAGAUCGAGACUUACCAAAGGAG
rnacentral:tRNA from 1 species